AGUGAACGCUGGCGGUAGGCCUAACACAUGCAAGUCGAACGGCAGCACAGUAAGAGCUUGCUCUUACGGGUGGCGAGUGGCGGACGGGUGAGGAAUACAUCGGAAUCUACUUUUUCGUGGGGGAUAACGUAGGGAAACUUACGCUAAUACCGCAUACGACCUACGGGUGAAAGCAGGGGAUCUUCGGACCUUGCGCGAUUGAAUGAGCCGAUGUCGGAUUAGCUAGUUGGCGGGGUAAAGGCCCACCAAGGCGACGAUCCGUAGCUGGUCUGAGAGGAUGAUCAGCCACACUGGAACUGAGACACGGUCCAGACUCCUACGGGAGGCAGCAGUGGGAAAUAUUGGACAAAGGGCGCAAGCCUGAUCCAGCCAUACCGCGUGGGUGAAGAAGGCCUUCGGGUUGUAAAGCCCUUUUGUUGGGAAAGAAAAGCAGCAGGUUAAUACCCCGCUGUUCUGACGGUACCCAAAGAAUAAGCACCGGCUAACUUCGCG
rnacentral:rRNA from 1 species